rnacentral:lncRNA from 1 species
AAAUACAAUAAUGGCAUAGCAUAUAACAAAUGAACGAGCAAAUAGAGGAAUAUCAAUAAAUAAAUUCCGAAAAACUAAGGAAUACGCACGAAAUCAGUUCAAAAAUAGAAAUCAUAGCAAAAUAUAAAGUAAGAAAAAUAAUCAACCACAACCAUAAUAAUGAAAAAAAUAGAGCAGGUCUUCAAAAUAAAUAUGAACAACAAUGAUAUAAAAGAAAAAAAAUAGAGGGGAAAAUGAUCUGCUUGGUUGUGCUCCGAUUUGGAGCUGUUCGUUGGAGGCUUCGCCGGUCAUCACAUCCGGCAAAAAGGUAGCGGAAAAGGGAAAGAAGAAAGGAAAAGGGGGCGACCUGUUGGUGUCUGGAGUAGUGGCCGCAAAAGAGCAAAGCUCGCCCGCCGGCGGUUAACUCCGAUGAGGUGCGACAGUGGUAAGAGGAAAAGAGAGAGAGGGAGAUCGGCGAUGUAGAGCUGAAAGCUCUGCCAUCGCUCGCCGUUCGUUUGGUGGCCAAAUCCGGCAGUGGCAAGGACUGGAGGAAGAGGGAGAUCUGCCGAAGCUCUGACGAUGGUGAGGCCGACUGUGAAGAUGGAGAGGAAGAAAAAUCUUCCUUUGCGUAUAUUUUGUAUGUGUGUAUGCUUGAAUGUGUCUAUGUUAAAAUGUGUUUUAUGUAUUUUGUAUAUUUUGAGAGAAAGGAGAAAGAGGAAAAAUUAUGUGUAUUUUUGUGUAUUUAAUUUGUAUGCGUUUUUUGAGAGAGAGGAAUAAAAACGUGUAUUGUGUGUUGUGUUUUAGAGAGAAGAAAGAAGAUAAGAUAUGUGUGUGGAGUAAAAAAUGUGUGUAUAUUUGUGUCUUCUCCCCUCCUAUUACCCAAAAAAUAAAAAGAUGCCCCCUCUUUUU